rnacentral:sRNA from 1 species
UGACUGCGACCGGCGUGAUGAUGAGUGGC